AUGUAUACGGACUGACGCCUGCCCGGUGCUGGAAGGUUAAGAGGACCUGUUAACCCACUUUGUGGGUGAAGCGGAGAAUUUAAGCCCCAGUAAACGGCGGUGGUAACUAUAACCAUCCUAAGGUAGCGAAAUUCCUUGUCGGGUAAGUUCCGACCUGCACGAAUGGCGUAACGACUUCUCUGCUGUCUCAACCACGAACUCGGCGAAAUUGCAUUACGAGUAAAGAUGCUCGUUACGCGCAGCAGGACGGAAAGACCCCGAGACCUUCACUAUAGUUUGGUAUUGGGAUUCGGUGUGGUUUGUGUAGGAUAGGUGGAAGACUGGGAAGCCCUGACGCUAGUUGGGGUGGAGUCGAUCGGUGAAAUACCACUCUGACCAUAGUGGAUUCCUUAACUUCGGACCCUGAUCGGGUUCAGGGACAGUGCCUGAUGGGUAGUUUAACUGGGGCGGUUGCCUCCUAAAGAGUAACGGAGGCGCCCAAAGGUUCCCUCAGCCUGGUUGGCAAUCAGGUGUUGAGUGCAAGUGCACAAGGGAGCUUGACUGUGAGACUGACAGGUCGAGCAGGGACGAAAGUCGGGACUAGUGAUCCGGCACCGGCAAGUGGAAGCGGUGUCGCUCAACGGAUAAAAGGUACCCCGGGGAUAACAGGCUGAUCUUCCCCAAGAGUCCAUAUCGACGGGAUGGUUUGGCACCUCGAUGUCGGCUCGUCGCAUCCUGGGGCUGGAGUAGGUCCCAAGGGUUGGGCUGUUCGCCCAUUAAAGCGGUACGCGAGCUGGGUUUAGAACGUCGUGAGACAGUUCGGUCCCUAUCCGCUGCGCGCGUAGGAAAUUUGUGGAGGUCUGUCCUUAGUACGAGAGGACCGGGACGGACGAACCUCUGGUGUGCCAGUUGUUCCGCCAGGAGCAUGGCUGCUGG
rnacentral:rRNA from 1 species